CGGCGCGCUUAACACAUGCAAGUCGAACGAGAAAGGGGGGCAACCCCCGAGUAAAGUGGCGUACGGGUGAGUAACACAUGGGUAAUCUGCCUCUGGGUGGGGAAUAACUCUGGGAAACCGGAGCUUAAUACCGCAUAAGCCUGGAAGGGGAAAGGCGAAAGUCGCCGAGAGAGGAGCCCGCGGCUGAUUAGCUGGAUGGUGGGGUAACGGCCUACCAUGGCGAAGAUCAGUAGCCGGCCUGAGAGGGCACACGGCCACACUGGCACUGAAACACGGGCCAGACUCCUACGGGAGGCAGCAGUGGGGAAUCUUGCACAAUGGGGGAAACCCUGAUGCAGCGACGCCGCGUGAGCGGAUGAAGCCCUUCGGGGUGUAAAGCUCUUUCGGCAGGGACGAUGAUGACGGU
rnacentral:rRNA from 1 species